UGGGGAAUAUUGCACAAUGGGCGGAAGCCUGAUGCAGCGACGCCGCGUGGGGGAUGAAGGCCUUCGGGUUGUAAACUCCUUUCGACAGGGACGAAGCUUUUGUGACGGUACCUGUAUAAGAAGCACAGGCUAACUACGUGCCCGCAGCUGCUGUAAUACGUAGGGUGCGAGCGUGUUCCGGAAUUACUGGGCGUAAAUGGAUCGUAGGUGGUUUGUCGCGUCGUCUGUGAAAUUCCGGGGCUUAACUCCGGGCGUGCAGGCGAUACGGGCUGUCUUGAGUGCUGUAGGGGAAACUGGAAUUCCUAGUGUAGCGGUGAAAUGCGCAGAUAUCAGGAGGAACACCGGUGGCGAAGGCAGGUCUCUGGGCAGUAACUGACGCUGAGGUGCGAAAGCAUGGGUAGCGAACAGG
rnacentral:rRNA from 1 species